AUGUCCAAAUUAUUGAGAGAGUGUGGGCUCUGGGACAGGAAGCGGGAGGAAACAGUGCACCCCUCGAAGUAUGCCAAAUACUGCUUUCAAUGUCUUUGCGCUUUGCUAGACGCUAACUGGGGUUCCUCUGACCGUGCCCGAGAGGAUGCAGUGGCCCUUCUUCCCCGUAAUCUCUACUCUUGUAGCCACCGACUCAUUGAUGCCUUCAGAGUUGCCACAGCAGACGCUUUUUCUUCAAUUUAUGUCGUCUCGAGUUCUGGAGUCGAGCUGUUGCCCUGGGUUGGUGCACUGAAGGCCGCCACUGCAGUUACAGCCGGCAAGGAGCGCCCCUGCCCAGAGAGGACCCCAACCACCCGAGUUGGACAUUUUCUGCAAUGUGGUGCAGCUGGCAUCCAGAGGUUUAAACCUACCCUUACUCUUCUAGAGACAAGACUAGAGAACUCAGGGUGAGUAGUUUGCUGCCAUCCCUGUGUAAAGCCAAGCCCUGUAUGGUUCUACUGACUCUGCUUUCUGUGAAAGGAGUGGUCACUUUUCUAUCUUGUGCCCAGUGCCAUUUUAUAACCCCCUUGUAAUCUAAUUAUUAGUUGCUAAAUUCCCAUUUGUCUCAGCCGAAAAAGAAAAAAAAGAAUAUUUAUUCCUGUUAUUCAGUCUCUGCUUGAAACUUGGCCCUAAACUCUGAAAAUUAAAGUCCCUCUCAUUUGCUCUCAGAACUUGCUGCUGUUAAUCUCCUACUUUGCCUUUGCUUAGUUAGGCACUCUGCUUUUGAAUCUUGGACACCCGUAUAUAAGCUGCCUUUUUCUUUUUUUUUUUU
rnacentral:lncRNA from 12 species